CCCGCGUGCUCGCCCGACCGCUCCAGCUCCCGCCCCUCACGCCUCGGGGCUCCCGCCGCCCUGCCCGGGGAGGGACCGGCGGGAGGUGUGGGGAACGGUGCGGGGACGGCAGGGGGAAGAAAAGAGGGGAGUAGUUAUCCGCCUGCGCGAAGACUCGAGGGAAUAAACGUGUGUUGGCAGCUCAAGCUGCUAAUUAGGGAGCCUGGCACUUGAGGGGGUUUGCUGAGGUACCUGAAGUGCACCUGCCUCGCCUGGUGUUCCUCCUCGGCUGCCAUGUGGGAAACGUUUAAAGGACACUUACAAACACUGCCUGUGUCUGAAAGUAAAAUGGAAGUGUAUGUUGUUUAGGCAAAAGCGUUCAGACAGUCUCUCUUCUGUAAUCUCUGCUUUUGAAGAUGCAUGUGGAUAUCUGAACAACUCACAUGUAAAGCGUAUGGAGUGUGGUGGUUCUGUACAUCUGUGGGCCAUUGUGGUGGAUGGGGAUGCAGACAAGCUUAAUAGCGGGAAUAUAGUUCUAGGAAACAUGGAUGAAAAAGAUCAGAUCUGUUUCAGAUGCUGCCAGUGCAAGACUAUUGUUUGCAUGUUUUCCUUAAAGGAGGUGUCAUUUGAGGAGAGAUGUAGCGCAUUGGUGCACAACGCUUUCUCUUGGUUCUUCUGUCUCCGCUACAACAUCCCUCUCCUUUCCUCGGUGUUUGAGCUCCAGGCAGUUGACCUUGUGUAUCUUGUUCCCCUUUGUGUGCUGCUUUUUCUUCUUUUUACUGUUCAGCUUUGAGCCUGCAGAUAGGUGAUUGUCAAAGAUACCCUAGUGAGAUGGUUGAUGGUCAUAUCUAAGAGGCUGCACGGUACGUUAGUGAACGUUAGAAAGUAAAGCAAUUCGUGGAACUCAUGACAGUUUUCUUCUGAUAUCAGUGAACCUAACAGAUUAAUUGGGGUUUUAAACUACAGAUUAAUCUAUUCUGGCUAAAGAUGGGGUCAUUCUUUUUUCAAAAUGUAACUAAUUUAAUUUAGCUUAAGCCUAUUUGAGAUUUGGUUUUAGUUGCUGAAGGAUCUGCUGGUUGUGUGCCCUGUAAAUCUUGAAGCACUUUUGUUUUCCGCUGGUGGUUUUGGGGAUGUAGUUGUUGCACGCAAAACCAUCUUUAAUGUAUUGUAAUUUGAUUAAAUCUGUGCAUGUAGGCACGAUAUAUAUAUAUAUGGGGCUGUUGUCUUUAUUGUAAAAGUUAGUAUUGACAAAAACAAAGUACUUUAUUCCACUUGAAAAUGCAGAAGUGAUACUUAGAUGUAAAAAGAUGAGACAGAAAACCUCAGAGUUUGAACAGGAGUUUCUUUCAUUGUAACCAGUUAUUUUUUUCCCCUUUGUUUCCUUAACUUCUUCACAGAUACCAGACUACCUAGCAUGUGUUUACCUAAAGCGUGGGGUAGGGUCAAUCUGUUUGAUGCUGUUCCUGGAGCAGGCUAUGGUUUUCCACUCUAAAUUGUUUAGGCAAGUAUUACCUAUGUGGAAUGGUACUAAUUCUUCUGUAGCAUCAUCUCUGGCUACGUUUAUUCUACUAAGAAAUAGGGAUAUUGUGCUUCUCAGAAGUAAUAGACUUCAGUUGUCCCUGUCAAUUUUUGGCUGAUGAUCUGAUGAUUGAUCUGAUGGUAUAAAGACCUGUAAAAUAGGAAGGGAUAGUUAUUAGUGUGGAUUAAUUCAUUAAUGUGCGUAACAGGUUUUCAGAUCC